GUCAGGAUGGCCGAGUGGUCUAAGGCGCCAGACUCAAGUUCUGGUCUCCAGGUGGAGACGUGGGUUCGAAUCCCACUCCUGACA
rnacentral:tRNA from 1 species